rnacentral:lncRNA from 1 species
AUUUAUUACACAUGGCAGCUUCAGAUUUUUUAGGCAUGCAUAAUAUUAUAUUUCUUCUUCUUCCUCCAAACAGAUAAAACUUUUGGUUGAUUUAAUACACAAUUUCUGUGAUGCUGUAUUCUAGAGGAUGGCUGAAAGAUAAUUAUUAACCAUUUGCUUCUCUUUGAAAGAGAUUAAUAAUUGAUUCUUACUAAGAAUUCAGUUUCUCCUUUAAUGACAGUUUUUUGUGGAUUUGUUUUUUCAGACAUAGUUUAUCGCUUAUCAAGAGAUUAAGAGCAAAACACAUACUACAAAAUGCAAGAUUCUUGUAUUUCAAACCAGCUGAUAUUCAGGAUGGUCCAGAAGAGAAUGAGAAGAAGGGAGACCAGCUUGGGAGAUAUGGUCAUUGGAACAGCAGAAGAGUGCACUUGAGUUUAGGAAUACCUACAACAGCAAUUCAAUACUGAUCUUGGCACUGAAUCAAGCAUAAAGACAAAAGACAUUCCCACUGGGCACCACUGAAGCAAAUGCUUCACAUCAUGUCCCCACCUGUCCCCCUUCUAAUCUAAGGCAUUCCAUGCCUUGGCAUCUGUAUACUGGAAAGCUGUGACAGCUCACUCAUGUCUAGGUCACUCUGACUUUUAGUUGUUGCCUGGAUGCUCAGACAAGAAAAAUGGCCAGUGUGGGGAAGAAGAAAAGACUGUCAUAUGCAAGUAACUCCAUGACAUGUGGAAUUCUACUGAUCUGAAUGUGCACUCAGAGCCCUAU